rnacentral:Y_RNA from 1 species
GGCUGGUGUGAUGGUAGUGGGUUAUCAGAACUUAUUAUUAACAUUAGUGUCACUAAAAUUGGCAUACAACCCCCCACUGCUAAAUUUGACUGCCUUUA